GUGCCUGGCCAUAUCCCUAUUCUUGGACCUCGAGAACUCCUGACUUUUGUAUGUGCACACUGAGCAUUAGUGACAUGGAAAAAAAAGAGCACUUCUCACCUCUCCUUCCUAGCAGACAAGCAUGCCAUUGUCCGAGCUCCAGAGGAACUCAGAGGCUGCACACAGCAACAGGAGGACAUGUUGUGUAGGACAAUGACAUGGUUUCUCUGCCACCAUCCAACUACAAACAGACUCCAAGUUAACAACACGAUCUGUGGAAUCUACAGGAGCAUCCCCUUGUAAAAGCCGCCCAAUAAUCCAGAGAACGUGUCUGACCAGGUAAAGAAAUAUCUCAAAGGAGCAUUGGGGAUUAAAUGUGCUUCCAUUCCUGAACUCUAGACUGGAUACCUGAGAAGGGCAGUAUCCAUUGACCACCUAUUCCAGACCUCCACUAACAUGAAGAAGGAGAACUUGAGGUCAUACCCUCAUCCCAUCUUUCACUGGUAUUAGACAGAGACAAUUUACAAACAAAUACUGAAGCACUUAAUUAGAAUUCCAACAUGAUUUCUAUAAAUUGGCAUUCAGAUUAUUUGACCCCUGGAGAGGAGAAAUCUGAAGGUAUAUGAAUUCUUGGGUUCUACCAGUUGUUGUUCUAAAGGGGACAGAUGUUUGCACUUCAUCUAUACACUCAGCAAAAUCCAGUCUGAUGCUAACACAAGAUGGAACAACCAACUGGACCUAAAUUUAGAAGAAUGGCAGAGGACAAGAGAUUCCUCCAGACCCCGGCCUUCUUCUUCCAGGACUUCCCACCAAGCCUCAAAGAUCCACAAAGGGCUACGGCAUUGUAAUGGAGACUACACACAUGGAACAGAACAGAAAGCUCAGAAACAGACCCAGUGAAAUCCUGCCAGCCUAUUUUCUCAUAAUCGCCCAGGGAAAUCAAGGCAGAGAGAAUGGCUUGUCCACAAAUGACUGUAGCAGAAGAUUUGAAAACAAACAAUAAGGAAACCAUGAAAAAACUGAACACAGUCACCAUUUCAAUUGACCCCAAAUACAAGCACCAUAAUGUUUGCAUAAAGUUAUAGAAGAGAACUACAUAAGUUCCUGCUGUAUAGAAAGGAGGAUCAGAAAUAAUACGGAGUAGAUGAACUGUGGACUUGGGAACCCUGAAGCCACCAGCCAUGAAAAUAGAGAAACUGGAGCAUGGCUGGAGCAGACACUCCCCCAGGACAUCUAGAGAGAGCCUGGCCCCUGACUCACCCCAGCACACAACAAUUCCCUGACAGUGAAUGCUCUGUGUCUAUGAGGAAUUGGAGGUGUAGUGUGUGCUGUGUGGUGUGAUGAGUGCUGAAACCUAUCCCAUUGUUGGGAUGGAGAUGAGCUGUCCAGCUGAUCUGAUAACAGCACUGUAUGGAUGGUCCAGUCAGCUGGGGAAAGCAGCAGAGCUGACACCUAGAUACUCACAUGAUCUACCCAUGACCCUCCCCUUGUUAACAACGUACAUACAGUGUCAGUGUAAGGACAUGAAUGACACCCCUCACCCACACUCACCACAGAGUUUCUAGGUAUUAGGACUAGAUAUUCAACUCCCUUUUGCUGUUCCAAACACAAUGCUAGAUUCUAGACCAGGCUAGAGAUGCCUCCAACCACAAUGUCCUAAGACAUGGGGAAAGGUAUCAGGCCCUGUUGGACACUUGACCUCCUGACAAGGACACACAGUUACUGCUUGGUCCAAACACUCCUGGAAUCUUCCUGCACUGACGUACAACACUAGGUAUACUGCAGUGUGUGACAAUACAGCCAUGCCACCUCACUUGUGCUACCAGCUGUCAGACCAGAUAAACAACCCCUACAUCACACACACACACACACACACACACACACACACACACACACACACACACAGCCUCUAAUACACUUACUUCUAAGUAUGGGCCAUGCAUGUUUCCAACCAAUCACAUAUUGACUGCUAGGUAUCAGCCCUUCCUGAACAAACUCUCACACACCUCACAUGUAUUCCUAGGUCUGGAUCCCAAAUGUCAUCCACAUAAUCCUUUAUUAACAGCUACUUAUCAGGCCAUAGAGGACACUCUCUUGCCACUGUACCCAAAUACUCUCUUACUAUUGGACCCCACUUGACACCCUAAUAUCACUGAAAUUCCACAUACACUGCUAGAGUUCAGGCCAUCUUGAACAUCACCCCUCACCACCACAAUCUACAAUGUUAGUAUCAGGGCCCACAGGAUACCACUAUCCAUCACCCACAUAUUCCUGUUGGAUAUCAGACCUGCUGGGCAUUCCAACACUCCAUGAAAACUCCUACAAGGCUAGCUGAUGUUCCUGGAAUGCACACAUCACCCUGCAGCCGCCUCACAUGCACUGCUGGGUAUCAGGCUCUGCUGACACCUUCAGUGCCUCACACACACUCAAGUGUCAAGCAUGCUCAGACAUUACAUCAUCCACUGCCAACCUACUUUAAAAUGAAUGAUCAGACCUUGACGGACACCAGCUCACUUAUAAGCUGACACAUACUUAGUAGGGAUUCUGCAGAGCUUGACACCCCAUUGUUCCAUUGCUCCCCUCUGACAUACAGUGUUAUCUACAAACACAUCUGACACACCACCACCCCUGUGACCACACAUCCACUCUAGGUACCAGGUCCAGUUUGACCUCAUACCCCACAUUAAUCGACAGCCAUCAGACCAUGUGGGGAACUUCUCCUCAUGUAGGUCUUACACAAUACCUAGCAGUUAGCUUUGCUGGACAUCCUCCUUCUGCUGAAGACACAUCCACACUGCUAGGCACCAGCUUCUACUGGACUCCUUCCUAUGCUGUACAAUGUGCUGGGUCUCAGGCUCUACUGCUAGUUACUGGGAUGUGCUGGACAUUAACCCCUGUCCACACCACAGUGCAUAUAAAGUGCUGUGUGUCAGGUUCACUUGAACACCAGGCUCCAUCACACAUGACAUUCUAGGUAUCCGACAAUGUUGACACCCACCCUAACCCCCGAUAUACACUACUGACCCAACAAACACUGCAAUUUUAAAGGCUUUGUUAGAUACCUCCAUCACUGAUAUAUGCAAGUUUCUUGAUUUCAGACACCACAUCUCUGUUCAGAUUUCAGUCAUGUGUAUUGAAGUACAUUGUAUGCAUAUAUAAUAAUUGGCUUCAGCCUCACCCAAAA